rnacentral:rRNA from 1 species
UAAUACAGAGGGUGCGAGCGUUAAUCGGAAUUACUGGGCGUAAAGCGCGCGUAGACGGUUUUGUAAGUCAGAUGUGAAAUCCCUGGGCUCAACCUGGGAACUGCAUUUGAAACUGCAUGGCUAGAGUAUCGAAGAGGGAAGUGGAAUUUCCGGUGUAGCGGUGAAAUGCGUAGAUAUCGGAAGGAACACCAGUGGCGAAAGCGACUUCCUGGUCGAAUACUGACGUUCAUGUGCGAAAGCGUGGGGAGCAAACAGGAUUAGAUACCCUGGUAGUCCACGC